rnacentral:rRNA from 1 species
AUUGAACGUUGGCGGCAGGCCUAACACAUGCAAGUCGAGCGGAUGACGGGAGCUUGCUCCUUGAUUCAGCGGCGGACGGGUGAGUAAUGCCUAGGAAUCUGCCUGGUAGUGGGGGACAACGUUUCGAAAGGAACGCUAAUACCGCAUACGUCCUACGGGAGAAAGCAGGGGACCUUCGGGCCUUGUGCUAUCAGAUGAGCCUAGGUCGGAUUAGCUAGUAGGUGAGGUAAUGGCUCACCUAGGCGACGAUCCGUAACUGGUCUGAGAGGAUGAUCAGUCACACUGGAACUGGGACACGGUCCAGACUCCUACGGGAGGCAGCAGUGGGGAAUAUUGGACAAUGGGCGAAAGCCUGAUCCAGCCAUGCCGCGUGUGUGAAGAAGGUCUUCGGAUUGUAAAGCACUUUAAGUUGGGAGGAAGGGCAGUAAGCGAAUACCUUGCUGUUUUGACGUUACCGACAGAAUAAGCACCGGCUAACUCUGUGCCAGCAGCCGCAGUAACAC